rnacentral:lncRNA from 1 species
AUAUAGGAUUUCGCUAUAUUUUUUUAUAGAUGAACUUUAUCAUAUACUUAAUAGAAAAAUGAAAUAAAAAAAUGGGGUCACUGUUCAUUUAAGCUCACAAUCUUCUCCAAAAGAAGCAUACAUUUUUGUUAAUGUCCUUUUUUUUCUGUUGAACUUAUAGGAGAAAUAGAGGUUAUAUCGAAAUAAAAAUUAUUUUUUUUACAGAAAUCGCUUAAAUUUUACAAUUAUUUAAUGUAUGUAAAGCUUAUUUGAAAACAAUAAAAAAAAAUAUAGG